CCUACGGGAGGCAGCAGUGAGGAAUAUUGGUCAAUGGACGCGAGUCUGAUCCAGCCAAGUAGCGUGAAGGAUGACUGCCCUAUGGGUUGUAAACUUCUUUUAUAUGGGAAUAAAACAGGGUAUGCAUACCCUUUUGUAUGUACCAUAUGAAUAAGGAUCGGCUAACUCCGUGCCAGCAGCCGAGGUAAUACGGUGGAUCCGAGAGUUAUCCGGAUUUAUUGGGUUUAAAGGGAGCGUAGGUGGAUUGUUAAGUCAGUUGUGAAAGUUUGCGGCUCAACCGUAAAAUUGCAGUUGAAACUGGCAGUCUUGAGUACAGUAGAGGUGGGCGGAAUGCGUGGUGUAGCGGUGAAAUGCUUAGAUAGCACGAAGAACUCCGAUUGCGAAGGCAGCUCACUGGACUGCAACUGACACUGAUGCUCGAAAGUGUGGGUAUCAAACAGGAUUAGAUACCCUGGUAGUC
rnacentral:rRNA from 1 species